GACGAACGCUGGCGGCGUGCUUAACACAUGCAAGUCGAACGAUGAAGCUGGAGCUUGCUCCGGUGGAUUAGUGGCGAACGGGUGAGUAACACGUGAGCAAUCUGCCCUUGACUCUGGGAUAACUGCGGGAAACUGUAGCUAAUACCGGAUACUUUCACUGGAAGGCAUCUUCUGGUGAAGAAAGAAUUUCGGUCAAGGAUGAGCUCGCGGCCUAUCAGCUUGUUGGUGAGGUAACGGCUCACCAAGGCGACGACGGGUAGCCGGCCUGAGAGGGUGACCGGCCACACUGGGACUGAGACACGGCCCAGACUCCUACGGGAGGCAGCAGUGGGGAAUAUUGCACAAUGGGCGCAAGCCUGAUGCAGCAACGCCGCGUGAGGGAUGAAGGCCUUCGGGUUGUAAACCUCUUUUAGCAGGGAAGAAGCGAAAGUGACGGUACCUGCAGAAAAAGCACCGGCUAACUACGUGCCAGCCGCCGCCGUAA
rnacentral:rRNA from 1 species